UACAGAGACUGCAAGCGUUAUUCGGAUUCACUGGGCGUAAAGGGUGCGCAGGCGGCCGUGUGUGUCAGGUGUGAAAGCCCGAGGCUUAACCUCGGAAUUGCGCCUGAAACUACAUGGCUAGAGUACUGGAGAGGGUAGCGGAAUUCCUGGUGUAGCGGUGAAAUGCGUAGAUAUCGGGAAGAACACCCGUGGCGAAGGCGGUUCUCUGGGACGGUACUGGACGCUGAGACGCGAAAGCGUGGGGAGCGAACAGG
rnacentral:rRNA from 1 species